rnacentral:rRNA from 1 species
GUCUAUGGCCAUGCCACCCUGAACAAGCUCGAUGUCUGAUCUCAGAAGCUAAGCAGGGUCGGGCCUGUUUAGUAACUUGGAUGGGAGACCAUCUAGGAAGACUAGGUGCUAUAGGCA